GUGGGGAAUAUUGGACAAUGGGCGAAAGCCUGAUCCAGCCAUGCCGCGUGUGUGAAGAAGGUCUUCGGAUUGUAAAGCACUUUAAGUUGGGAGGAAGGGCAGUAAGUUAAUACCUUGCUGUUUUGACGUUACCGACAGAAUAAGCACCGGCUAACUUCGUGCCAGCAGCCGCGGUAAUACGAAGGGUGCAAGCGUUAAUCGGAAUUACUGGGCGUAAAGCGCGCGUAGGUGGUUUUGUAAGUUGGAGGUGAAAUCCCCGGGCUCAACCUGGGAACUGCCUCCAAAACUGCAUGACUAGAGUACGGUAGAGGGUAGUGGAAUUUCCUGUGUAGCGGUGAAAUGUGUAGAUAUAGGAAGGAACACCAGUGGCGAAGGCGACUACCUGGACUGAUACUGACACUGAGGUGCGAAAGCGUGGGGAGCAAACAGGAUUAGAAACCCUUGUAGUCC
rnacentral:rRNA from 1 species